rnacentral:rRNA from 1 species
CAUCGAUGGUUCCAUCGAGGCGUCCUCGACGCGACCCCAG